rnacentral:lncRNA from 10 species
GUCCUCGGCCGCCGAGUCCGCGCGGGAGGCAGCGCCGCAGCUCCCCGGCCGGACACGGCGCCGCAGCUCGGCGCGUCCUCCUGCUCGGCCGCCGCCGCCUCCAGCCGAGCAGCCAGCGCCGGGCGGCUCCUGGGGUUAAGUCAACAUUUUCCCGCAGUUUCCCACACGCCGCUCUUCGAGAGAGGUCUUUCACACACACGCACACACCCCCAGACCGCACGCUCCCUUAGGAAAAAAAAAUCGGGAAUCAGAGCGAAAGGGGUGGUGGAAGCAAAAGCCUGACAGAGGUGCGCAGACUUGGGAGUCCCUUCGAAGCGACGGGCGGGAGGGCGCCGGGGGCGCGAGGCCAACUCAGUUUGUCAGGCGAAGCCCCUCAGCCCCCCGAGCGCCCGGCCGGAAUAGCAUCCCUCGCGCCGACCCUGCGGCCUGGGGCGGGAGGCGGCGGCGACCCCUCCUCACAUUUCGGAUCUCCCGGCCGGGGCUGAGCGGUGGCCGCUGCCCCAAGGAAGGCUGGCGGCGCAGACUCGGGCUCGGGGAAGCAAGGAGUAGCCGGGAAGAGCCACGCCACACACAGCAGCGGAGGGGAGAUGCCCCCCAACAAUCCCAAGGAAUUCUCUGACACGCCUGCUUCCUCUUCACCCUUCUGCCAUGAUUGUAAGUUUCCUGAGGCCUCCUAGCCAUGCUCCCUGCAGAACUUUUCUUUAGGUUUCUCUGGACAGCAGCUUAUACAUUGAAGCUGACUCUUCACAAUGUGGUAAUGAACCCUUGGUUGCAGUGACCUUACAAUGUCAAGGGAGCUCAGAUACUACCUCAUGCAUCAGCCAGUAUCACCUUUUGCAGCAAACUUUUGUUUGAUUGUCUUGCUGAAUUUUGUACCUCCUGUGAACUAGUUUGAUGGUCAGAAGAAACAGUUUAAAAAAACGAACAGGUGAAGAAAAUAUACAGACCUCACUUGUUAACAUUAAAUAAAGAAUGCUUUGGCCGGGCGCAGUGACUCAUGCCUGUUAAUCUCAGCACUUUGGGAGGCCGAGGCAGGCGGAUCACUUUGAGCUCAGGAGUUUGAGACCAGCCUGAGCAACAUGGUGAAACCCCGUCACUACUAAAAAUACAAAAAUUAGCCAGGCGUAGUGGCCUGUAAUCCAGCUACUCGGGAGGCUGGAGAAUCACUUGAACCUGGGAGGCAGAGGUUGUAGUAAGCUAAGAUCAUGCCACUGCACUCUAGCCAGGGUGACAGAGCAAGAUUACGUCUCAAAAAAAAAAAAAAAAGAAAAGAAAAAAAGGAAUGCUUUUAAUUUC